ACGGGAGGCAGCAGUGGGGAAUCUUCCGCAAUGGGCGAAAGUCUGACGGAGCGACGCCGCGUGGAUGAUGAAGGUCGGAAGAUUGUAAAAUCCUUUUAUGACUGAGGAAUAAGUGAAGUGAGAGAAACGCUUCAUGGUGACUGUAGGUCAUGAAUAAGCAACGGCUAAUUACGAGCCAGCAGCCGCGGUAACACGUAAGUUGCGAGCGUUGUUCGGAAUUAUUGGGCGUAAAGGGCAUGUAGGCGGUUUUGCAAGCUUGGUGUGAAAUCCCGGAGCUCAACUCCGGAAUUGCGUUGAGAACUGCAUAACUAGAGUCACUGAGGGGCAAUCAGAAUUCCAGGUGUAGGGGUGAAAUCUGUAGAUAUCUGGAAGAAUACCAAUGGCGAAGGCAGGUUACCAGCAGAUGACUGACGCUGAGGUGCGAAGGUGCGGGGAGCAAGCAGGAUUAGAUACCCUGGUA
rnacentral:rRNA from 1 species